CCUACGGGAGGCAGCAGUGAGGAAUAUUGGUCAAUGGGCGAGAGCCUGAACCAGCCAAGUCGCGUGAGGGAGUACUGCCCUAUGGGUUGUAAACCUCUUUUGUCGGGGAGCAAAAGCCGGACGUGUCCGGCUGUGAGAGUACCCGACGAAAAAGCAUCGGCUAACUCCGUGCCAGCAGCCGCGGUAAUACGGAGGAUGCGAGCGUUAUCCGGAUUUAUUGGGUUUAAGGGGUGCGCAGGCGGAUUUUUAAGUCAGCGGUAAAAUCGUGGGGCUCAACCCCAUCCAGCCGUUGAAACUGGGAUCUAGAGUGUGCGAGAGGUAUGCGGAAUGCGUGGUGUAGCGGUGAAAUGCAUAGAUAUCACGCAGAACCCCGAUUGCGAAGGCAGCAUACCGGUGCACAACUGACGCUCAGGCACGAAAGCGUGGGUAUCGAACAGGAUUAGAUACCCGUGUAGUC
rnacentral:rRNA from 1 species